GUCCACACCGUAAACGAUGGUUACUAGGUGUUCGGGAGCAAUCCGGAGUGCCCAAGCGAAAGCGAUAAGUAACCCACCUGGGGAGUACGACCGCAAGGUUGAAACUCAAAGGAAUUGACGGGGCCCGCACAAGCGGUGGAGCAUGUGGUUUAAUUCGAUGGUACGCGAGGAACCUUACCUGGGCUAGAAUGUGAGUGCCGGACUCUGAAAAGGGUCUUUCCUUCGGGACACAAAACAAGGUGCUGCAUGGCUGUCGU
rnacentral:rRNA from 1 species